UACGAAGGGGGCUAGCGUUGUUCGGAAUUACUGGGCGUAAAGCGCACGUAGGCGGGUUGUUAAGUCAGGGGUGAAAUCCUGGAGCUCAACUCCAGAACUGCCUUUGAUACUGAAGAUCUUGAGUUCGGGAGAGGUGAGUGGAACUGCGAGUGUAGAGGUGAAAUUCGUAGAUAUUCGCAAGAACACCAGUGGCGAAGGCGGCUCACUGGCCCGAUACUGACGCUGAGGCGCGAAAGCGUGGGGAGCAAACAGG
rnacentral:rRNA from 1 species